rnacentral:rRNA from 1 species
ACGUAGGGGGCGAGCGUUGUCCGGAAUUAAUGGGCGUAAAGGGUGCGUAGGUGGCCUUUUAAGUUGGAUGUGAAAUCCCCGGGCUUAACUUGGGUGGUGCAUCUAAUACUGGAGGGCUAGAGUGCAGGAGAGGGAAGCGGAAUUCCUAGUGUAGCGGUGAAAUGCGUAAAUAUUAGGAGGAACACCAGUGGCGAAGGCGGCUAUCUGGACUGUACCUGACGGUGAGUCACGAAAGCGUGGGGAGCAAACAG